GAGCGAAUGGAUUAAGAGCUUGCUCUUAUGAAGUUAGCGGCGGACGGGUGAGUAACACGUGGGUAACCUGCCCAUAAGACUGGGAUAACUCCGGGAAACCGGGGCUAAUACCGGAUAACAUUUUGUACUGCAUGGUGCGAAAUUGAAAGGCGGCUUCGGCUGUCACUUAUGGAUGGACCCGCGUCGCAUUAGCUAGUUGGUGAGGUAACGGCUCACCAAGGCAACGAUGCGUAGCCGACCUGAGAGGGUGAUCGGCCACACUGGGACUGAGACACGGCCCAGACUCCUACGGGAGGCAGCAGUAGGGAAUCUUCCGCAAUGGACGAAAGUCUGACGGAGCAACGCCGCGUGAGUGAUGAAGGCUUUCGGGUCGUAAAACUCUGUUGUUAGGGAAGAACAAGUGCUAGUUGAAUAAGCUGGCACCUUGACGGUACCUAACCAGAAAGCCACGGCUAACUACGUGCCAGCAGCCGCGGUAAU
rnacentral:rRNA from 1 species